AACCGAGUGCGGGCCCUCUGGGUCCAACCUCCCAUCCGUGUCUAUCUGUACCCUGUUGCUUCGGCGUGGCCACGGCCCGCCGAAGACUAACAUUUGAACACUGUCUGAAGUUUGCAGUCUGAGUUUUUAGUUAAACAAUAAGGAAAACUUUCAACAACGGAUCUCUUGGUUCCGGCAUCGAUGAAGAACGCAGCGGAAAUGCGAUAAUUAAUGUGAAUUGCAGAAUUCAGUGAAUCAUCGAGUCUUUGAACGCACAUUGCGCCCCCUGGUAUUCCGGGGGGCAUGCCUGUCCGAGCGUCAUUGCUGCCCUCAAGCACGGCUUGUGUGUUGGGCUUCCGUCCCUGGUAACGGGGGCGGGCCCAAAAGGCAGUGGCGGCACCAUGUCUGGUCCUCGAGCGAUUGGGGCUUUGUCAACCGCUCCCGUAGGUCCAGCUGGCAGCUAAGCUCGGAACCAAUCUUUUCUAACCACCGC
rnacentral:rRNA from 1 species